GGGGAUUUGGCUCAGUGGUAGAGCGCUUGCCUGGCAAGCACAAGGCCCUGGGUUCGGUCCCCAGCUCCA
rnacentral:tRNA from 1 species